GAUGAAGAACGUAGCGAAAUGCGAUAAGUAAUGUGAAUUGCAGAAUUCAGUGAAUCAUCGAAUCUUUGAACGCACAUUGCGCCCCUUGGUAUUCCGAGGGGCAUGCCUGUUCGAGCGUCAUUAUAACCCCUCAAGCUCAGCUUGGUGUUGGGGCCUGCUGCACUGGCAGCCCUUAAAAUCAGUAGCGGCGCCAUCUGGCUCUAAGCGUAGUAAUUCUUCUCGCUAUGGAGUCCUGGUGGAUGCUUGCCAUCAACCCCCAAUUUUUCUAUGGUUGACCUCGGAUCAGGUAGGGAUACCCGCUGAACUUAAGCAUAUCAAUAAGCGGAGGA
rnacentral:misc_RNA from 1 species